CUCACGAUUAGUAAAAAAAUUCUUUGGAUCCAAGAUCUAAUGCACACAAUGGGGAGAUUAAAAAAAAAUCAUCCAUCCAUUUUCCAUAACGCUUCUCCUACUCACGGAUGCAGGGGAGCCUGGGGCCUAAGCCCCCAACCCCGGAGGUAUGAGGCAACCAUUCUAACCCCUAAUCCACCAUGCCCCCCAUGUCUCUCGGCAAUGAUUAUGAUUAUGUUAAUGAUUAUUUUAUUGCAUGUUAUACUUUUAUCCAUUCAUAGUUACAUUUAGUGUUGUGGCAUGUCUGUGAAAGCUAGUUCCUGUUCCAGAGGCUAAAACAUAGCAUGUGUCAACAAGUAUCGCUUUAUGUGGCCACCCAACACUAGCUCUUGGCUGCUCCAGUCAAAAUGUUGUGGACAAUUUCUUGUGAAAAGGGCCCAUUGGCACAGCUCCGUGGCAUUUCAUUUGACACUGAUGUUUUUGGGGUGAUGACAUAAAAGCUGGGCAAGAGAACCAAAUCAAUAAUACUUGACUAAUAUACAAAUAUACCAAAGUACUACUUAUAUAUAGUAAUGAAUUAUUCAAGUGUUUUCCUUCCAUGAUGUACAACUGUAGUGAUCAAACUUGACAUUAAAUAUGGACAUAAACGUGUAUUUAGCAGCUAAAUCCACAACUGACCCAAAAUAGACGGUAUCUUUUUUACGGGCUAGUCUACUAAUGAACAGCCAUUUCCGGUCAGUUAAUGCUCAGUAGGCUUUUUUUUUAAAUGAAUGCGGCAAAACCACUGCAGUGACAGUUUUCACACGUACACCAGACAAAUUCCUCUGAAUACAGUAUAUCUUAUUCUUUAAAACUGUUUUAUUACACUGAUCUUCUAAAUUCACCCGUUAACUGAUGUCAGACUUAGAAAGUGGUUCAACAAGGACUCUGGAUAGUGUGAACAUCAACAGAGAGGAUCACAACCAAUCAGAGCAGAGUGUGUGUGAAGUUCUGGGUAAAGGUAUCCAGUAAUGUGAGGUCGUCUCCCCAGGCACACUAAAGGGCUGCUAGAUUUACGCUCGCUUAAUUAUGAAUGAGUGAGGCAUGAGAGAAGCGAAGCAGAUCUCGUUAAAUCUGUCCUCUCGGCCUGCUACAGUGACUAAACUCACGCACUUUAUACGAUACAUUUUCCCUGAGAAGAGCGGGAAAGUGGGCGUGGCUUUGACCUCCGACGUUUAUGUAGCUCUGCUCAUACGAGUGAGUCUAGAAUGUCGUGCACAAAAGCAAAACGCGCGUUCAUACAAGCCGGUGAAUCAGAUUACGUCUGAAAAUCUCACUCUGCAUGUGUGUGUGUGUGUGUGUGUGUGUGUGUGUGGGAGGUCCUUAAUAUCAAGAAGCACCUAAAGUCUGCAUCGACAGAUCCAUUUCAGUUUAACGCACUGCAGAUGUGUGGGUGUGGGGUUGUGCUUUUUUGGCUGUUCUUUUAUCAACAAACUCCAGAGUCCACCAGUUUCCCAGGAAUCUCGAGAAUUUAGGUCUAAAGAUGUGUCCCGGUAUAUUUCCAGCAAAGAACAGAGCCUGGGAAAACCACCAAUUGACUCACACUGAGAGAAAGAAAAGAGUCAGUUCUGUGUGAAGUCUGGCUUCUAAUAGAUAAGACAUUCCUCUGCAAAUACACACACACACACACACACACAAAGGAGAUGAGUAAUUGAAGAAUCAGUUGGUUUGCAAGGCCCUAAAUGGAUGGACGAGGGAUAUGAGCUGUGCCGUGUGUGUGUGUGUGUGUGUGUGUGUGUGUGUGUGUGUGUGUGUGUGACAGUUUGCACUUCCUCUCUAAACCUUUGUGAUAGAUGAGGUUUGAGUGUGUUUUUCUGCUGCUCCACUGACUCACGAGAGCUUCACGCCCCAGUUACACACACGCAUACACCCCGUAAACUGCGUUUUAUUCUAGCAGUGAUCCUUAAACUGUUCUCCCCGUUGCAGGCAACCCCAGAAUUCUGUUUACUGAAUGACACAUCUGUAAAUGUUUCAGCAACAAAAUGGACUAAAUUCACUCUCACGGAGAAGUCCAAUUAUUAAAAAAAGGAAUGCUAGCUGACAGUCAUAGUAUUUGUGUUAGUAAUUGUGUUUGUUAUUUGCUAGAAAUGAUUUCAGGAUUGAAAAAGAAAAAAAGAAAAAACACACACACACAUUAAAAAAAAACACCACAUAGCUAACAGAACAUGAUUUUGGCUUACCUCAGGAAAAACCGUGAACUAGCAGCAGAAGUUGUUGGGUUCCUGAAUACAACUAAACUAUUUACUUUUGUUAGUUGCUAAUUGCUGUUUUCCACAAACAUCACUAGUGACAUAACCAACGCUAGUCGUAUUGUGUAUAGUUAGCCACUAGCAAGUUAGCUACCUCACCUAAGCUAGUUGUGAGGCUACAUUAGCUAGUUGUGAGGCUACAUAAGCUAGUUGUGAGGCUACAUUAGCUAGUUGUGAGGCUACAUUAGCGAGUUGUGCGGCUACAUAAGCUAGUUGUGAGGCUACAUUAGCUA
ensembl:lncRNA